CCAGGGUCGGGGUUGCUGUCGCAACCAGCUGCGUGUUCCAGCAGGGGGCCGAGGGUGUCCCGAGCAGUGCCCAGCCCCAACCUGGACGGAAUCUGGGCUGACGCAGAGUCGGUCUCCCCGCAGCGGCCGGUGCAGCGCCGCGGCUGGGAAACGCGCUCCCAGCCCCCUGGAGGCGGAGCCCGGAGAUAAGGUUCGCGCUCCCCACCCGCCCCCUUUCCGGGGCGAAGGCCAGAGGGUGGGUUUUGGAUCUGGAUCUCGAAGUGCGAACUGGUAGUGGAACCCUGGUAGAAACCGGCUCAGUUCAAAUCCUGCAAGGCCCAGAAAAUGCACGACCGGGCAGAGGCGGGAUGAGGGACUACCCGGGACGCGGGAAAGAUAGAGGUUGAAAGAGCCAGCACCAAGGGAGGCCAGGACUGGGGAGCGUCGCCUGCACGGAUCAAGGGAGGCCUUCCUCCCUGUGCCCGUGAGAACGGCCCCCUCCCCGGGGCGCCAGGAUCAGUCCCCGUGGCCCGUCCAACCCCUGACUGAUGCACCUGCCUUUGACCUAAGAUUUUUGAACUUCAAGAUGUAAGCCUACAUCUUCCUAGGAGAAACCCUGACUGAGAAUGAAGCCAACACAGAGAAAAGCAAAACUACCGAAAGAGAACCAUCUACUGACCUCAUUUGAGUAUCUACGUCCAGCCAUUACUGAAACUAGGCCUACAUCUGGAUUUUUCCCUUACGUGAGCCAAUAAAUCCCUUUUUUAUUUAAGCUUA